GGCGGGCGUAAAGCUGUCGCUAUGGGGAUGGGCCCCCGCGGUGCAUUAGCUAGUUGGUAAGGUAAAGGCUUACAGGCGAUGAUGCAUAGCCGAGUUGAGAGACUGAUCGGCCACAUUGGGACUGAGACACGGCCAAAACUCUACGGGGAGGCAGCAGUAGGAAUCUUCCACAAUGGACGCAAGUCUGAUGGAGCAACGCCGCGUGAGUGAAGAAGGUUUUCGGAUCGUAAAAGCUCUGUUGUUGGUGAAGAAGGAUAGAGGUAGUAACUGGCCUUUAUUUGACGGUAAUCAACCAGAAAGUCACGGCUAACUACGUGCCAGCAGCCGCGGUAAU
rnacentral:rRNA from 1 species